CCUACGGGGGGCUGCAGUGGGGAAUAUUGCACAAUGGGCGCAAGCCUGAUGCAGCCAUGCCGCGUGUAUGAAGAAGGCCUUCGGGUUGUAAAGUACUUUCAGUCGUGAGGAAGGUGUUAAGGUUAAUAACCUUAGCAAUUGACGUUAGCGACAGAAGAAGCACCGGCUAACUCCGUGCCAGCAGCCGCGGUAAUACGGAGGGUGCGAGCGUUACUCGGAAUUACUGGGCGUAAAGGGCACGCAGGCGGUUAGUAUAGAUGGAUGUGAAAGCCCAGUGCUGAACCUUGGAAUGGCAUUCAAGGAUUGUCUGCAAGAGGCGUGUAGAGGGGGGUAGAAGUGCAUGUGCAGCGGUGAAAUGCGUAGAGAUGUGGCAGAUUACCGGGGGCGAAGGCGGCUACCUUAACAAAGACUGACGUUCAUGUUCGAAAGCGUGGGGAGCGAACAGGAUUAGCUACCCUUGUAGUC
rnacentral:rRNA from 1 species